AUCUCAUUAGAGGAUCUUUUGCAAGCUUGCUCCCUUUGGGAGAAAUUUGAUGUCCCAGUAAUGCUCCGGAAAUUUGAUAGUGGAGUGAAGGUGAUCCAGACCAAGACGCAUAGUGAUGAUGAGGUAUUUGCAAGAAUCUCAUCACUCGCGCAAAAGCCGGAUGCUCUUCUGAAAGGAAUAAGCCCCAGCGACGCUGCAUUUACACUGGGGAUUGC